UCCCCGAGGAGGCAAGUGAGCGUGAGCGGUGCUUGAUACCAGCGCUGAGCUGCACGACCAAGGCAGGGAUUCGAGGCAGGGGAGCUGAACCCAGGGCUCCUUUAAAGAUCACAGGCCAGAAAAUCAGCCGCUCUUGCUUCUGGAGUAGCCUCUGUGCACGUGGUGAAGCGAGGUUGUGUGCGUGGCUGGGCUGCCUUCGCGGGGUGGGGGUGUGGAGAGCCGCCCCCCCACUCUCCUGGCUUGUGGGAAUGUUAUGGCAGUUUGUCCCCGAGCAGGGUUUCUGAGAAGGUGUUCCCGGGGCCCGACCUGCUAGAGGAGGCGUCUGGAGGCCCUCACAGGAAUAAUCCAGGUCGCCUUCACUGGAAAUCAGUUUGCUGAAACUAUUGAUACGCAGUUCUUAACGCUGAAGAAAAGGAGGUCCUGCGCCUUGACCACACGAGCGUGGCCCUUCCUCCAGACCCCCGCUCCGGACGCGCCCACCUAGCGUCUCCCAGGAACCAUGCGGCAGCUCAAGGGGAAGCCCAAGAAGGAGACGUCCAAGGACAAGAAGGAGCGGAAGCAGGCCAUGCAGGAGGCCCGGCAGCAGAUCACCACCGUGGUGCUGCCCACGCUGGCCGUGGUCGUGGUCCUGAUCGUGGUGUUUGUGUACGUGGCCACGCGCCCCACCAUCACCGAGUGAGGGCCCGCCCCGAGGGAGGAGGCUCGGGAGGGGAGAGCAGAAGAAGGGCCUUCAUCCGCUGCGAUUUUCCUGAUGCCGAGCUCUGAGCAGGAGCCCCCGUCUGCUCUGGUCUGUGACUUGAUUAAAGGUUCUCCACUUUUCUUGGGAGGGAAUAGGAAACGUUUUAUCAGUGAACGUGCCAUACACCUUAUGGUCCACUUCAUGUGCCUUUCAGACUUCAAAGCCGUGUGUGUGUGUGUGUGUGUGUGUGUGUGUGUUUCUCGCCUGCAAUCGAUGUGUAGCCCCACCUGGUGAGAGGAGGCGUCUCUGGGUCACGGAUCAGUUGGAAUCAGUGCUCACCCCAUCCCCGUUGUUUUGAACAUGACUUUCCUACACGUGUUCACAAUUUCCAAAGGGACUGUGUUUCUUCUCUGUGCUUCAUGUGAUUUGAAAUAUGUCGACUCAAAAGUGAAAUAUUUAUUUUUUGAAUAAAGGAGAUGAUAGCC
rnacentral:lncRNA from 1 species